UGAAUGCGAUGGAAAUUUAGUUAUGUCU
rnacentral:sRNA from 1 species